GAAAGUCGUGUGCAAUGAAAAAUGCAAGCACGGUUUGGGGAGGGAUCUUUUUCCUUUAUUGCAACAAGGAAAAAUUAUCUACUCCAU
rnacentral:ncRNA from 1 species